GCCAAGAUAGCUCAGUUGGCAGAGCGGCACACUCGUAAUGUGCAGGUCCCGGGUUCGAUUCCCGGUUUUGGCU
rnacentral:tRNA from 1 species